rnacentral:lncRNA from 1 species
GAACUGAGAAACUGAUGUGACUCCAUUUUUGAGAAACCAGCUUCUACCUCAAGGCCUGUCCUAAGGAAGGGGGCUUGACCCUAGUCCUUGGAAAAAUCCACAGAGCACUCCUAAGCACAUACCCACACUGCUGAGUUGUUUGUCUGUAAAUAACAGGAGAGAUCUGUGGCGCCAGGUGUCCCUGACUCAGUUAGGCUACAUGAGGACCCAUAGCAGCCCCCUAAUGACUUCCAAUCAGCAUGAGACAGGGAAAAUACCCAGGAUGCCAGAUGACCCCCCAGUAGUUCAUGGUGGUUGAUAACGUGUUGGGAAACCAUGUAGUUUAGAAUGUACACCCCUCGUGGUUCAAACCAAUCAGUUCAAAGCAAUCCUUCUCUUGUACUAACGAAUCACCCCUACCCAACUUGUUCCCGCCAGUGAAUGUGCUAAUCAAUGUUAAGAGUCAUUGUUUGAUUUUCCCGCGGUAUGGAAUGAUUUGCUGUGUGAUGUUGUGACGCAUAGAGUAUCCCCCCCCAAAACCUAUAAAAUCUCACUAAACAAAGGACCAG